rnacentral:rRNA from 1 species
CAAAUCAUCAUGCCCCUUAUGACCUGGGCUACACACGUGCUACAAUGGAUAGUACAAAGGGUCGCGAAGCCGCGAGGUGGAGCUAAUCCCAUAAAACUAUUCUCAGUUCGGAUUGUAGGCUGCAACUCGCCUACAUGAAGCCGGAAUCGCUAGUAAUCGUGGAUCAGCAUGCCACGGUGAAUACGUUCCCGGGCCUUGUACACACCGCCCGUCACACCACGAGAGUUUGUAACACCCGAAGUCGGUAGGGUAACCUUUAUGGAGCCAGCCGCCGAAGGUGGGACAGAUAAUUGGGGUGAAGUCGUAACAAGGUAGCCGUAUCGGAAGGUGCGGCUGGAUCACCUCCUUUCUAAGGAA